GAGAGCAAGUGAUGGACGACGAGAGUAUCAACACCUUGAUGUGCGAAGUCGAGUCCAUCGUUAAUGGGCGACCUCUUACUAAAGUGUCGGACGACCCUCACGAUUUAGAAGCGUUAAUCCCCAAUCAUCUGCUGCUGUUAAACCCUGGAUCAUCAUUUCCACCAGGACGAUUCUCGAAGGAAGACAACUGUAGUCGUCGUCGUUGGCGACAAGUCCAGUAUCUUGCCGACGUGUUCUGGCGACGUUGGAUUCGCGAAUACCUUCCAUCAUUACAACCGAGGCAGAAAUGGAACGAAAGGUGUCGGAAUGUUAAAGUCGGAGAUAUCGUGCUCGUCGUGGACGAGAAAACACCACGCAGUUCGUGGCCG